UGUGAAGUGCAAUUUUCUCACUUCACUGCUAAUCUUGGUUGUUAUUUUAAGUUUUGUUCACUUGCAUGCAGGAUGUAAAUGCUGUGCUAAUAUGGGCUCUAAGGUUUUCGAAAUUGAGGAGGAUUUUGGGCGUACAAGAGUUCACCAAUCAAGCAACUAAGAGAUAAUUCAACAAGCCAUUGAGAGCUGGUGAGACUGUCUAUGACCACUGACUACCUUAUUUGUUAAGCAUCUGUCAACUAUCCUAGGAUACCUACUGAAUGUUUUUUCUGCAAUAAGUACGGAACAAUAAGAGUGUUUUUUUCCAUUGAAGAGUUUUUAUUCUACUAACGACUCACAUUAUCCUGCUAAACUUGAGAGCUUCCUUGUGUAUCCAGACUGGUUGACUGAAUCCAUUAGUUGGACUUCAGCAGCGUAUCUUUUGCCCCUUGAGGAUGAAAUGCGCAAAGUUUCUGGUAUUCAGUCGAUAAUGUGCUUUGCACGUACUGGUUUUCAUGCUCCAAAGGAUAUUUGGUCUAACCGAAAGAUAUAUUUUGUAUUUUCCAAUCAAACAAAUGUAAUAAUUUUGUUUCAUACAUUUUCUUGGUGUUCAUUGUACUAAAUAAAUCAGUUGCAUGGCAGGGUAUUCUCCCUAAGAUGAGCUUUUGAUGUCAGGCAAAGACAUUGUAUUGAGCAGAACAAAGACAUUAUAAUUCACACCGAGCCGACCGGCGCUCUAGACCAGAUGAGGUAAGACAAGGGAAGUGAUUGGAGACAAAACGGAAAUGAAUUGGGCUAGCUAGCUGGGUCGAAUUUGACACCAAUAAUUUUGGUGUGUUUAUUCUUGGGGAAUGGCUAAACGUGCAAGCAAUUUACUUACUGAUUUACUUAUCAUGACGCGAGGAGGUAAUAAAGGUGGAACCUGAGGAGCCAGGCAAAGACAAAGUAUGAACCUGAGGCAAAGACAAAGUACGAACCUGAGGAGGUAACAAAGGUGAAACCUGGGGCUCACUUGCUGAGACUAAGUUGGACACUGUUUUUAAGGCUCCUCUGGAUGACCGCCUCCUCAGUCCUCCCCAAGCACGUGCUGCUGCGUACUGGUCUCCUCCAUGGGAUGCAAUGCCGGCCUGGAAAAAGAAGCUUAGGAAUUGGUCAAG